rnacentral:rRNA from 1 species
GACGAACGCUGGCGGCGUGCCUAAUACAUGCAAGUAGAACGCUGAAGAGAGGAGCUUGCUCUUCUGGGAUGAGUGGCGAACGGGUGAGUAACGCGUAGGUAACCUGCCUUGUAGCGGGGGAUAACGAUGGGAAACGAUAGCUAAUACCGCAUAACAAUGGAAGACACAUGCUAGUUAAUUGAAAGGGGCAAUUGCUGCACUACAAGAAGGACCAGCGUUGUAUUAGCUAGUAGGUGAGGUAACGGCCUACCUAGGCGACGAUACAUAGCCGACCUGAGAGGGUGUUCUGCCGCUCUGGGUCCGUGUCCUGGCCCCGUCGCCUCCGGGUGGCAGCAGCAGGGAGUCCUCGGCAAUGGGCGCCAGCCUGACCAGGCAACGCCGCGCGAGUGGCGAAGGGUUUCGCAUCGUGAAGCUCUGUUGUUUGUCACGACCGCGUGUCGGCGUAGAACGUUCGCACUGUGACGGUAGCUAACCAGAAUGGGACGGCUACCUCCGUG